rnacentral:rRNA from 1 species
CACGUAGGCGGAUAUUUAAGUCAGGGGUGAAAUCCCAGAGCCCAACUCUGGAACUGCCUUUGAUACUGGGUAUCUUGAGUAUGGAAGAGGUAAGUGGAAUUCCGAGUGUAGAGGUGAAAUUCGUAGAUAUUCGGAGGAACACCAGUGGCGAAGGCGGCUUACUGGUCCAUUACUGACGCUGAGGUGCGAAAGCGUGGGGAGCAAACA